ACAUCACACAAACCAGUCCCCAGCAAUAACUAGUGCUGACUGGUUCACCACAGUCAUCCUGUGAAGACAACUUACUGUUGUUGACAUCCAAGCCAUGUUUCUUCUCCUUCAGUCUCAUGGUGUUGGGAGUAAGAAGGAACUCCAACAGAAUAGGGCUCUGCAGUGAGCAGCAUGUGUGGAUUCCAAAAGAGCACAACCUGACAAAGUAGAUCCUUCUUAGGAAAUGAGCCAGUUAAAAGAAACAGAAGCACUGAUGCUGAAUUCAGAGAACCUCAGAGUCAGGAUUGUCUCUCUCUGGGAGUUUCAGAUUAAUGCAGGAUAAAGAGAUUUAGUCGGACUUUGGUUCUCUGCUGCAUUCCUCUGACAUACCACGGAUACCUGAGGCAGAACAACAAGGAUAUAGAGCUUGAAUCUGGAACAACAGUUGAGAUCUCCCAGCCAUCAGGAAACAUAGGAGACAUUUGGAAUAAAAACAAGUAACUCUGAAAAGCAGUAUACAAGAAGAGACUUACCACUGAAUGAAGAGCAGGAAAGAAAAUACCCAGCUGACAACAGCUUUGAUCUUUUUACAGAAACAGAAACUAGAGGAGUGGAGGUGCCAUGAGGAGGAGGUGGAAGCAAAGAAGUCACAAUUAGAGAAAACAGCACAAGAACAGAUUUGGCAGCAGCAGCAGGAUUACCACAGGAAGCUUCUGCAGUUCCAGAAGAAGCAACAGCUAGAGGAACAUGGAGCAGCAGAUGGUCUAUAGAAAGACUAAUGCUUACUUUAGCAGCAGAUAGCUCAUCAGAAUGAAUGAUUUCUGGUAAAGACAUAGCCUGUGUGUCUGCCUUGAAAUUCCUGUGACAGUACGUCCCAAACUUGCAGGACCUAAAGCUGCUUCUCUGUUAAACAGAUAUGAUAACAAUAGUCCUCUCUGCCACAGUCCCUGCAGCCUGAAAAGAGAGAAAUUCCACAGCCUAGCUACGAUGCAAUGUGCAAGAUGCUGGCAAUAACAUCACUCAUGCUACAUCUGAUCAUUUGUUUUCAUUACAUAUCUUCUCUGAAAGCCUGACUCCCAGUACCUACAGCUAAAAAAAAAAAGAGAUUCCAACAAAUAGUUGCAGAGAAAGGCUUGAACAAAAAUACGAUUACAAUUUAAGAAAAAUUCAUUUGAGACAAUAUUAAAUAUUGUAACACCAGUAUUAGAAUUUUCUUUUUAUCUGUAACUGAUGAAAAAAGUUCUUUCUUAAAUAGAAAGUACAUAAACAACUAAUAGUUGUUGGUGAUGUUCCUAAGAGGCACAAAAAUGCAGACAAAAAGGAGCAAUGUGAUUAGAGGAAGAAUGCCAGCAGCUGGUUGACAUAGCAGUAGAGCACCUGAAAUAUGAAGGAAAAAACUGAGAAAAGGCAACAUAUAAGGCUGAGGAGCAAAUGAAGAAAGAAGAUGCUAGACUACCUCUAGACAAAGCCAGAACACAAGCACAGCUUUUAAAUUUAAUCAGGUAUGUAGCUAUUAGUCAAAGAGUGAAGUUAAUGCCUCUGUAGUAGGAGUUCCAUCAGUGUAGUUAACGCUGGAGAGCACCACUGGUACCUUGGAGUUAAAACUGCCUUCAAUUCCAGCCCCAAGACACAAUGCUCUUCUUUUACUAUUUAACCAGUUUUUCAGUAUUUCCCCAAAUUGCACCAGCAAUUCACAUACAGCUGUAUUCUCUAAUUAUUUUAGUGUUUAUAACAUACUACAGAAAGAAGCCCAACUGGAAAGAAGCCCAACACCUGAAAUUAUGGUUACCUUUACACCAGAGCAGUCUCCACAGCAUACUUCCACAACUUCCUGCAGCACCUCAGAACACAGGAACUGGGAGGCUGCACAGUACAUAUUAAAACAUUGCAAAUUGCGUAACAGUCCUUAAGAGAAGCCUAGGUCAAUUUGUGAGCCACAAAACACUGCCAGGGAUAAGAGGCUGAGUAAUAACUACAGCUGAGCAGCAACUAGCACCUACUACUUGCUCUACUCUUACUGUUGUGACAGGAGAACAUGCUAGCCCACAAGAAAGUAUCAUCACAAGCCAACAUGUUCUUCCAGUCUAUUGCAAACCUUGCUCAAAGACAACUCCUAAGGGCAGCCCAGGCUCCUGCCCAGCCUCAGUGCUACAGAAGGCACCAUUAUGCGCUGUGGCAAAAUCAAAGAAAUGCUACUGCACCAGGAAUGAACUCACCAAGUGUGUAUGUGUCAAGUCAAUGCACUGGCUUUCUAACUCCAGAAGGAAUUGUGUUCUGCAUCCACUUCAUUAACACUGUUUGGAGGCAAAGAACAAAUCUGGAACCACCUCAGCAGUCCAAGGAGCAUGACUAAGGGAAGCUACCAGACUGGAACACACUCAACAUGUUCCUCAUCCACAGGUGUUUUCUCAUGUUCACCCAUUUGAAAAGCUAGGCCUGAAAAGAGUAUAAAAGAGUAAGUAAAUGCCUGGUGCUAGGAAUGGGUCACUGCAGUGAGCUCUUUCAGCUGCACUCAAAUUCAAGGAUCCAAUCCGGCUCGAGAGACCUUUUGGCACACGUGCUCUCCUUCACAACUUUAUCUUCCUAGGCUGCAGCAUUAGUCUGUGUAGACUAUUAACAAGAGGAAGUAAAAGCAUUCAUGUUUGAUCAGCCAGUAGAAAUGAAUCCAGACAGACCUCCUGAGGUACCAGAAUACAGAUUCUUUGGUCCAUUCUGUAUGAAAUCACCAGGUUACAAAAAUGUACUAAGACCGCCGUGCUGACCUCUGGAGGAAUCCUCCAAAACAAUAAAUUGCAAUAAACAUGCUACUGUAAGAAGAGGCUAGAUUUCAGACUCAGCAAUGAAAAGACUACAGAGAAACUGUAGCAAGACAAGUUCUUAUCUUCCCUAUAAACCAGGUUAUUCUCAUUUUUUUUUGCUUCUCUAGUAUUUUCUAGUAAAGUGUAACACUUGUAGAUUCAAUUCAUAUUGCAGUUGAGUCUCCUAUGGAGAAGAGUAAUCACUUUUUGCAAUCUCUAAAUUGAAGCCGAACUUUAUUAGGUAUGCAUUAAGUACUGGUUCUAAAAGCAAACCAAAACCAGUUUAAACAUCCAGCACAAUUCCUACUGGUCUCCAUGAGGUGCUUCAGAGGUUCAUUUUCUCAUUUAAGAAAAUUUACCCUGAACAGCAAUAAUUCAAGUGUGCACACAAAAGAUGCACAGCACAGGUCAACAUAAAUAUUUUAAUACUGUAUUCUUAAAUAAUGCCAGUUUCAAUUAGGAAAAGCUAAAAACUAGUAAACAAUUGUAGCAUUUUUAAAACAAUAGAUGGCUAGUCAAAAUUCAUGGCAGAAUUCACAUUUUAGCAUUAUCUAACAUAUUAAUUGAAGUCCAAAUCCUGCCAACAUUUAUGCAUUUAACAUCAAAAAACCCUAAUUUUAUCAACCGGGUGAUCAUGCAGACAUGUUUAUACUUAAGAGAAUACACAAAUUCUUUAGGCACAGCAGUUUUGAGAAAAUCUUUCAAAACUGAUACUGUAAAGUGCCUUUCAAUAAAGCUUUUAUACAUAACCAUAGUGAUUAUUAAAUAUAUUGUCACAAUUCAAAAUAAAGUAUUAGCUUCCACCUUCUAUUCCGUAACUGACUCAGUGAAGAUGGUUUUAUUCUCCCAACACUUUUUUUAAAGCACUUAAAACCAACUUUUUUCUAAUAUACAAGUAAGC